rnacentral:rRNA from 1 species
GGUAGUCCAUGCCGUAAACGAUGUCUACUAGCCGUUGGGGCCUUUGAGGCUUUAGUGGCGCAGCUAACGCGAUAAGUAGACCGCCUGGGGAGUACGGUCGCAAGACUUAAAACUCAAAUGAAUUGACGGGGGCCCGCACAAGCGGUGGAGCAUGUGGUUUAAUUCGAUGCAACGCGAAGAACCUUACCUGGCCUUGACAUACAGAGAACUUUCCAGAGAUGGAUUGGUGCCUUCGGGAACUCUGAUACAGGUGCUGCAUGGCUGUCGUCAGCUCGUGUCGUGAGAUGUUGGGUUAAGUCCCGCAACGAGCGCAACCCUUUUCCUUACUUGCCAGCAUUUCGGAUGGGAACUUUAAGGAUACUGCCAGUGACAAACUGGAGGAAGGCGGGGACGACGUCAAGUCAUCAUGGCCCUUACGGCCAGGGCUACACACGUGCUACAAUGGUCGGUACAAAGGGUUGCUACACAGCGAUGUGAUGCUAAUCUCAAAAAGCCGAUCGUAGUCCGGAUUGGAGUCUGCAACUCGACUCCAUGAAGUCGGA